CCUACGGGAGGCAGCAGUGAGGAAUAUUGGUCAAUGGGCGGAAGCCUGAACCAGCCAAGUCGCGUGAGGGAAUAAGGCCCUACGGGUUGUAAACCUCUUUUGCCGGGGAGCAAGGGCGGGGACGUGUCCCGGCCCGGAGAGUACCCGGAGAAAAAGCAUCGGCUAACUCCGUGCCAGCAGCCGCGGUAAUACGGAGGAUGCGAGCGUUAUCCGGAUUUAUUGGGUUUAAAGGGUGCGUAGGCGGGCUUUUAAGUCAGCGGUAAAAUGUCCGGGCUCAACCCGGGCCGGCCGUUGAAACUGGGGAUCUUGAGUGGGCGAGAAGUAUGCGGAAUGCGUGGUGUAGCGGUGAAAUGCAUAGAUAUCACGCAGAACUCCGAUUGCGAAGGCAGCAUACCGGCGCCCGACUGACGCUGAGGCACGAAAGCGUGGGGAUCGAACAGGAUUAGAUACCCUUGUAGUC
rnacentral:rRNA from 1 species